GUGCCAGCAGCCGCGGUAAUACAGAGACUGCAAGCGUUAUUCGGAUUCACUGGGCGUAAAGGGUGCGCAGGCGGUCGUGUGUGUCAGGUGUGAAAUCUCGGAGCUCAACUCCGAAACUGCGCCUGAAACUACAUGACUAGAGCAUUGGAGAGGGUAGCGGAAUUCACGGUGUAGCAGUGAAAUGCGUAGAUAUCGUGAGGAACACCAGAGGCGAAGGCGGCUACCUGGACAAUUGCUGACGCUCAGGCACGAAAGCGUGGGGAGCAAAAGGGAUUAGAUACCCGGUAGUCC
rnacentral:rRNA from 1 species